UGGUGGAGUGGUCUGUCUGGUCAAUUCCGUUAACGAACGAGACCUCAACCUGCUAAAUAGUUACACUGCAUGGGCAUACCCUUGUUCAUGCGUGGCCAACUUCUUAGAGGGACCACCAUGGUUAUACAUGGGGGAAGUUUGAGGCAAUAACA
rnacentral:rRNA from 1 species